rnacentral:rRNA from 1 species
GUCGAACGCUGUGUGAUCAGUUCAACUGAUUUGAAGAGCUUGCUCAGAUAUGACGAUGGACAUUGCAAAGAGUGGCGAACGGGUGAGUAACACGUGGGAAACCUACCUCUUAGCAGGGGAUAACAUUUGGAAACAGAUGCUAAUACCGUAUAACAAUGACAACCGCAUGGUUGUUAUUUAAAAGAUGGUUCUGCUAUCACUAAGAGAUGGUCCCGCGGUGCAUUAGCUAGUUGGUAAGGUAAUGGCUUACCAAGGCGAUGAUGCAUAGCCGAGUUGAGAGACUGAUCGGCCACAAUGGGACUGAGACACGGCCCAUACUCCUACGGGAGGCAGCAGUAGGGAAUCUUCCACAAUGGGCGAAAGCCUGAUGGAGCAACGCCGCGUGUGUGAUGAAGGGUUUCGGCUCGUAAAACACUGUUGUAAGAGAAGAAUGACAUUGAGAGUAACUGUUCAAUGUGUGACGGUAUCUUACCAGAAAGGAACGGCUAAAUACGUGCCAGCAGCCGCGGUAAUACGUAUGUUCCAAGCGUUAUCCGGAUUUAUUGGGCGUAAAGCGAGCGCAGACGGUUAUUUAAGUCUGAAGUGAAAGCCCUCAGCUCAACUGAGGAAUUGCUUUGGAAACUGGAUGACUUGAGUGCAGUAGAGGAAAGUGGAACUCCAUGUGUAGCGGUGAAAUGCGUAGAUAUAUGGAAGAACACCAGUGGCGAAGGCGGCUUUCUGGACUGUAACUGACGUUGAGGCUCGAAAGUGUGGGUAGCAAACAGGAUUAGAUACCCUGGUAGUCCACACCGUAAACGAUGAGUGCUAGGUGUUUGAGGGUUUCCGCCCUUAAGUGCCGCAGCUAACGCAUUAAGCACUCCGCCUGGGGAGUACG